rnacentral:misc_RNA from 1 species
GAAAGCUGUAGAUGUGGUUGUGCUGGCUCUCCGGAGUAAUGUGCACGCCCGUCUCACUCUCACCUUCAUUCAACUGUGCACUUUUGACGGAUGGGAUAUCUUUUCCGCUUCACCGCGGGUUUGGGGGUCAAGCGUUCAUUCGCGUUUUCCCCUGCUUUCCCAUCCGUAACCCCCCUUACAACACACUUUAAAAAAUCAACCCAGAAUGUCUGAUUGACCUUUUACGGUCUUAAUCUUUUAAUACAACUUUUAACAACGGAUCUCUUGGCUCU